rnacentral:rRNA from 1 species
GACGAACGCUGGCGGCGUGCUUAACACAUGCAAGUCGAACGGAAAGGCCCUGCUUUUGUGGGGUGCUCGAGUGGCGAACGGGUGAGUAACACGUGAGUAACCUGCCCUUGACUUUGGGAUAACUUCAGGAAACUGGGGCUAAUACCGGAUCGGAGCUCCUGCUGCAUGGUGGGGGUUGGAAAGUGUCGGCGGUUGGGGAUGGACUCGCGGCUUAUCAGCUUGUUGGUGGGGUAGUGGCUUACCAAGGCUUUGACGGGUAGCCGGCCUGAGAGGGUGACCGGCGACAUGGGGACUGAGGGACGGACCAGAGUGCUACGGGAGGCAGCAGGGGGGAGUAUUGCACAGUGGGGGGAAGCGUGAGGCAGCAACGCCGCGUGCGGGGUGACGGCCUUCGGGUGGUAAACCGCGUUCGCCUGUGACGAAGCGUGAGUGACGGUAAUGGGUAAAGAAGCACCGGCUAACUACGUG